UGCAAGUCGAACGCGAAAGGGGCUUCGGCCUUGAGUAGAGUGGCGAACGGGUGAGUAACACGUGGGUGAUCUACCUCUGAGUGGGGGAUAACGUUCCGAAAGGAGCGCUAAUACCGCAUGACGUUCCGGGUUUGAAGACCGGGAAACCAAAGUCGGGGACCGCAAGGCCCGAUGCUUGGAGAGGAGCCCGCGCCUGAUUAGCUAGUUGGUGGGGUAACGGCUCACCAAGGCGACGAUCAGUAGCCGGCCUGAGAGGGCGGACGGCCACACUGGGACUGAGACACGGCCCAGACUCCUACGGGAGGCAGCAGUGGGGAAUUGUUCGCAAUGGGCGCAAGCCUGACGACGCAACGCCGCGUGGAGGAUGAAGGUCUUCGGAUUGUAAACUCCUGUUGACCGGGACGAAUGGGCGACGACCUAACACGUCGGAGCAGUGACGGUACCGGUUGAGGAAGCCACGGCUAACUCUGUGCCAGCAGCCGCGGUAAUACAGAGGUGGCAAGCGUUGUUCGGAAUUACUGGGCGUAAAGGGCGCGUAGGCGGCCUUCUAAGUCGGACGUGAAAUCCCCAGGCUUAACUUGGGAACUGCGUCCGAUACUGGAUGGCUUGAGUGCGGGAGAGGGAUGUGGAAUUCCAGGUGUAGCGGUGAAAUGCGUAGAUAUCUGGAGGAACACCGGUGGCGAAGGCGGCAUCCUGGACCGACACUGACGCUGAUGCGCGAAAGCCAGGGGAGCAAACGGGAUUAGAUACCCCGGUAGUCCUGGCCCUAAACGAUGAGUGCUUGGUGUGGCGGGUAUCGAUCCCUGCCGUGCCGAAGCUAACGCAUUAAGCACUCCGCCUGGGGAGUACGGUCGCAAGG
rnacentral:rRNA from 1 species